CUGCCCGUAGCCCAACAGGAUAAGGCACAAGAUUCCGAUUCUUGUAGAUGCUGGUUCAACUCCAACCGGGCAGGCCA
rnacentral:tRNA from 1 species